rnacentral:lncRNA from 1 species
GGUGGGGACGCGCCUGCCGCAGUAGUUCACGAGGAGGCUGAGGUUGAUGGGCAGGUUGAGGGUGAUGCCCAGCACGUUGGCGCGCAGGGCCGUGCACAGGCACACCGCCGCCUCAAGGUCCGCCAGGCCCUGGAUCAGCGUGCAGCACGGCGUCCGCGGCGGCGUCCCGAGGGUCGCGUUGAUCAGCCCCUGUAGCACGUUGGCGCACACACCAAGCUUCAGGGCAUCCACGGGGCACCUACGACCUUGGCCUCCGCCUCCUCCGCUGCCGCCGCCUCCGCUCCCGCCCCCGCCGGUGCCGCCGCCUCCGGUGCCGCCCCCGCCGGUGCCGCCCCCUCCGCUCCCGCCGCCUCCGGUGCCGCCCCCGCCGGUGCCACCCCCUCCGGUGCCGCCCCCGCCGGUGCCGCCCCCUCCGGUGCCGCCCCCUCCGCUCCCGCCCCCGCCGGUGCCGCCCCCACCGCUUCCGCUGCCGCCUCCACCACCAGAGGAUCCUCCGCCGCCUCCCCCACCGCUCCCACCCCCGCCGGUGCCGCCCCCACCGCCUCCACCACCACCACCUCCCCCGGCGCCACCGCCGCCUGGGCUAGGACAG